GUUUAGAUAGUUUAAUAAAAAUGUUGAUUUGUGGUGUCAAUGAUAAGAUUUGUCUUUUUAAACC
rnacentral:tRNA from 1 species